rfam:Myotis brandtii contig317464, whole genome shotgun sequence.
AUCCCACCUGGUUGCUCUGUGUACACCUAGCUCAUACGGGGCUGCCUCUCCCCUCCCCUUGCCGUAGGUCCUGCCAUUGGCUGGUCUCGGCCCUGCUGAUGAGCCCAG